rnacentral:rRNA from 1 species
GAUGAACGCUGACAGCAUGCUUAACACAUGCAAGUCAACUGUGGCGGACGGGUGAGUAACGCGUAAAGAACUUGCCUCACGGUUAGGGACAACAUUUGGAAACGAAUGCUAAUACCUGAUACUGUGAGAGGGCUUUGCGUCCCAUUAGCUAGUUGGAGAGGUAACGGCUCACCAAGGCGAUGAUGGGUAGCCGGCCUGAGAGGGUGAGCGGCCACAAGGGGACAGAGACACGGCCCUUAGUGCUACGGGGGGCAGGAGUGGGGAAUAUUGGACAAUGGACCAAAGUCUGAUCCAGCAAUUCUGGGUGCACGAUGAAGUUUUCGGAAUGUAAAGGGCUUUCAGUUGGGAAGCGGUACCAACAGAAGAAGUGACGGCUAAAUACGUGCCAGCAGCCGCGGUAAUUC